AAAAUUGGUUUACAUUGAGAGGAUUUCAUACCCGUAAUUUUAUUAUAAAAAUUGAUUUGCGCAGGACAGCUUCUUUAAACUACCAUGUUUAUAAUGGAAUUGCCAAAUUUCACAACAAUUGAAGAAGCUAACAUUUUAGUUUUUUUCAUGAUUACACAAAAAAUACUUCAAUAUUUAUAAUAUUGAUACAGGAAUACAUGGAAAAUUAUUUGUAAAAAUGUCUUACACUCUUUAAAUAUUGGGUGACCAUCCUCUAACAGUGAAAUAUAAAUGACAACCUUAGCGUGCUUUAUUUUAUAAUUUAGAGUAAAAAAAAUAUAACAUUAAUUU